GCUCUUGUUUAUACUGUUAUGACCCUAUUGGCGGCGCAAAAGGGUUAACUAUAGGCUCAGCUGACACACACGUGAAUCACUCAGGUCAGCGGGGCCAUGGACAAGGGACAGUACUACGAUUACACGAUUACACGCAAAUAUGACCAAUGUUAUGGUCAUGUGAUCGAAAGCCUGCGUGUACGACGACACAGUGUGUAGGAAAGCGGCAGUUCAAGACCGGAGAGCGUCGAGACCGGGACUGUUAGUCGGCCAUGAAGUCGGUCCUGGUUGAGUCCUCAUGUGUUGAUGUACAAGUCCAGAAAGAGAGACAGUAGAGUUUUGUACGGUGAUGUACAGAGUGACAUUUUAGUUGUUGAUGUGUUUGAUGCCAAUUGUCUAGUAUUGGCUGUUAUCUACUUAUUCACUCAUUAUUAAAGUACCAGAUUAUUUGGAGCCUUGUUGUCAAGUUCUUGAUGUGUUGUGUUGUGUUUAGCAGUGUUUACAAAAGGCCUGAUUAGGAAGAGAGAUCGUAACAAUACAAAUCAUUUAUAGGUGUAUUAUUUUGAGUAUUCGUUAAUGCUAUUGACAUGAUGUCAGCACAACAUUUGUAUAUGCCCUGAAACAUGUCCCCAUCAGCACAAAGAGGAGUCAUGAACAUUUCAUAGUUUUUUGUGGAUGUACUAUAGAUGUAUACAUCAAUUUAUAGGUUGCAUAUUUCUGUUAUCAAGGCUCUAUAAAAAAGACAAAACAAAAGAAAACCAAACAUCAACAUUAGAAAAGUCAACAUCAACUCACCUGGUCAGCAGUGGAACAUGGAACUGGAUUUGAAUCUAAAAAAAUAGAACAAAGUAAUGUCAACAGUCAACUUGUCCAAAAAUAACCCUAGAUAACUUCUCCCUCAUUUCUGUUGAGUUUAAUGUAUUGAAAUCACUUUUGAAGUGCUUUAGUUUAUAAUGAUUCCAAAAUGGAAUUUCUUUGUUCACACAAUAAUUGUGAGAAAAAGUUGUGCUUAAUCUAGUCCAACAUUUCUUCAUAAAUUUAUGUCUUAUUUUUAUGUAACUGAGAGAGAAUAUUUCUCCGCAUCCUAAUGUUUCAUAAACAAUUUAGUCAUGCAUUAAUAUUUAUAUAUAUAUUUUUAACAGAACUUCUUUUAUCUACAUAAUAUCCAAAUAAUAAUAUACAAAUCUCUAUAGUAUGUGAGUUUUGUUGCUGUUAGCAUUGAAAUGCACUACAGCAUCAGAAUAUAUAAAUAAACCAAGAAACAAAGAAAUGUGUUAUUCUUGUUUGAACUGAUGCAAACAA